UAUCGUAUGGUCUAGUGGUUAGGGCGGCCGGCUGUCAGCCGGAGGGCCCAGGUUCGACUCCUGGUGCGAUAG
rnacentral:tRNA from 1 species